AUGCAACACAGUCCGAUGCUGUGCGCGCGUCUACUGCAUUUUCAGCGGAGCAGCUGUGACCAUGGGUCCAUGGCUAGCUGCUGCUCGGUGGCGCGGAGCACGCACGCACGCACGCACGGGAAUCGUGUGAUUGGCCCUGCGUCUGCGCACGGCCGUGGGCCGGGGAGCAGGCAGAAGACGACGUUCGACGGCGUACGGCGAUGUGCGUGCACCCGGUUGGCGAAUGGCAACCAGCUGUGCGUAAUCAUGGUGAGGGCAAAAACACACACGUCGACGUCUGUUUCCUCUUCACUGCUCGGUUCUUGA
rnacentral:rRNA from 1 species